GCGGAUGUGGCGAAAUGGUAGACGCAGCGGAUUCAAAAUCCGCCGUAGCAAUACAUGUCGGUUCGAGUCCGACCAUCCGCACCA
rnacentral:tRNA from 3 species